rfam:Oryza meridionalis cultivar OR44 (W2112) chromosome 11, whole genome shotgun sequence.
UUUAAGUACAGUUUUGGGUUUCUAUGCCUAACGUUUGAUUGUCUGUCUUAUUUAAAUUUUUUUAUGAUUGAUAUUUUUAUUGUUAUUAGAUGAUAAAACAUGAAAAGUAUGACUUUUUUUAAAAGUUUUUUUUCAUAAAAUUUUGAAAUGAAACGGAUGGUCAAACGUUAGAUAUGGAAACCCGCGAUUGCACUUUAA